rnacentral:rRNA from 1 species
CGUAACACGUGAGCGACCUGCCCUGGUGUGGGGGAUAGCCGGCCCAACGGCCGGGUAAUACCGCAUACGGCCCCUGCUUAGAAGCGGGUGGCGAAACUUUCGAGGCGCUAGGAGGGGCUCGCGGCCUAUCAGCUAGUUGGUGUGGUAAUGGCACACCAAGGCGAUGACGGGUAGCUGGUCUGAGAGGAUGGCCAGCCACAUUGGGACUGAGAUACGGCCCAG